rnacentral:rRNA from 1 species
UACGUAGGGGGCAAGCGUUGUCCGGAAUCAUUGGGCGUAAAGAGCGUGUAGGCGGCCUAAUAAGUCGGUUGUGAAAGUCAAGGGCUCAACCCUUGAAUGCCGGCCGAUACUGUCAGGCUAGAGUCCGGAAGAGGCGAGUGGAAUUCCUGGUGUAGCGGUGAAAUGCGCAGAUAUCAGGAGGAACACCGAUGGCGAAGGCAGCUCGCUGGGACGGUACUGACGCUGAGACGCGAAAGCGUGGGGAGCGAACAGG